GUGGGGAAUUUUGGACAAUGGGCGCAAGCCUGAUCCAGCCAUGCCGCGUGCAGGAUGAAGGCCUUCGGGUUGUAAACUGCUUUUGUACGGAACGAAACGGCUCUUUCUAAUAAAGAGGGCUAAUGACGGUACCGUAAGAAUAAGCACCGGCUAACUACGUGCCAGCAGCCGCGGUAAUACGUAGGGUGCGAGCGUUAAUCGGAAUUACUGGGCGUAAAGCGUGCGCAGGCGGUGAUGUAAGACAGAUGUGAAAUCCCCGGGCUCAACCUGGGAACUGCAUUUGUGACUGCAUCGCUGGAGUGCGGCAGAGGGGGAUGGAAUUCCGCGUGUAGCAGUGAAAUGCGUAGAUAUGCGGAGGAACACCGAUGGCGAAGGCAAUCCCCUGGGCCUGCACUGACGCUCAUGCACGAAAGCGUGGGGAGCAAACAGGAUUAGAAACCCCUGUAGUCC
rnacentral:rRNA from 1 species